GUCCAGAAGUCCAACCCUUCUUAGAUUAUUUUGUGAGCCAAUAUGGUCAUGAUCAAGUGUUUCCAUCAUUUAUAACGUGGUAUACUAAUUGGGUCUACAAUUCAGAAAAUGCCGCCACAUUUGAUCAAUUUUUCAAGGAUAUUUCUUA